rnacentral:rRNA from 1 species
CCCUUAGAUGUCCUGGGCCGCACGCGCGCUUCACUGAACGGAUCAGCGCGUUUUCCCUUCCCGAGAGGGACGGGUAACCUGCUGAACCCCGUUCGUGGUAGGGAUCGGGGCUUGCAAUUAUUCCCCGUGAACCAGGAAUGCCCAGUAAGUGCAAGUCAUAAGCUUGCGUUGAUUACGUCCCUGCCCUUUGUACACACCGCCCGUCGCUACUACCGAUUGAACGUUUUAGUGAGGUACUCGGACUGAGCCUCAGAAGAUUCACGUCUUUUGUGCUGCUCGGGAAGAUUCCCAAACUUGAGCGUUUAGAGGAAGUAAAAGUCGUAACA